UGCCAUCAAACCAGUGGGUGGUAGGUAUUAAUACUUAGGUCUAUAUCUUUUUUCAACUCCAAUUUUCUUCUAGAACAAACCUUUCUUAGUAGAAUGGAGAUGUGCCCUAUUGAUUUGGGGAAGUUGGUGGUUGGAGAAGAGCAAGAUCACUUUCUGGAAUGGGCGGUAGGUUGUGAACCUCCUAGCUGUAUGAAAAAUCCCCUGACUUUAGAUAACAAGCGAACCAGCUAAGGUCAAAUAAGCCUUAUCCGAC
rnacentral:misc_RNA from 1 species